GGUCAAGUUAUUAAGGGUGCAGGGCGGAUGCCUUGGCACUAGGAGCCGAUGAAGGACGUGAUAAGCUGCGAUAAGCUUCGGGGAGUUGCACGUAAACUUUGAUCCGAAGAUUUCCGAAUGAGGAAACUCACUUAGAGUAAUGUCUAAGUAUCAUUAAGUGAAUACAUAGCUUAAUGAGGGGAACUCAGGGAACUGAAACAUCUAAGUACCUGAAGGAAGAGAAAGAAAUUCGAUUCCGUAAGUAGCGGCGAGCGAACGCGGAUUAGCCCAAACCAAUAAAGUUUUCUUUAUUGGGGUUGCGGACAUAUCAUAACGAAGAGGUAUCGUAAUUGAAGAGGUUUGGAAAGACCCACCACAGAAGGUAAUAGUCCUGUAUGUUAAACGAGAAGACUUCAGAUAUGAUCCAGAGUACCACGGGACACGUGAAACCCUGUGGGAAGCAGGAGGGACCACCCUCCAAGGCUAAAUACUACCUAGUGACCGAUAGCGUAUAGUACCGUGAGGGAAAGGUGAAAAGAACCCCGGGAGGGGAGUGAAAUAGAACCUGAAACCCUGCACUUACAAGCUGUGGAAGCACAUUUCUUGUGUGACCGCGUACUUUUUGUAGAACGGGCCAACGAGUUACGUUAAGUAGCAAGGUUAAGCACUUAAGGUGCGGAGCCGUAGCGAAAGCGAGUUUUAACUGAGCGUUCAGUUACUUGACGUAGACCCGAAACCGGGCGACCUACCCAUGAGCAGGAUGAAGCGAAAGUAAAAUUUCGUGGAGGUCCGAACCCACGAGCGUUGAAAAGCUCGGGGAUGACUUGUGGGUAGCGGUGAAAUUCCAAUCGAGCCCGGAGAUAGCUGGUUCUCCCCGAAAUAGCUUUAGGGCUAGCCUCAAGGUGAGAGAUACGGAGGUAGAGCACUGAAUGUCCUAGGGGGUAUUGCACCUACCGAAGACUAUCAAACUCCGAAUGCCGUCAUCUUAUACUUGGGAGUCAGACUGUGGGUGAUAAGAUUCAUAGUCGAAAGGGCAACAGCCCAGAUCGUCAGCUAAGGUCCCUAAAUGUAAGUUAAGUGGUAAAGGAUGUGGGAUUGCACAGACAACCAGGAUGUUGGCUUAGAAGCAGCCACUCAUUCAAAGAGUGCGUAAUAGCUCACUGGUCGAGUGAUCCUGCGCCGAAGAUUUCCGGGGCUAAAACUUACUACCGAAGCUACGGCAUCAGUAAUGAUGGGUAGGGGAGCUUCCCAUACGGGUUGAAGCAUGACCGUAAGGACAUGUGGACAGUAUGGGAGUGAGAAUGUUGGCAUGAGUAGCGAGAUGUGGGUGAGAAUCCCACAGGCCGUAAACCCAAGGUUUCCAGGGGAAGGUUCGUCCGCCCUGGGUUAGUCGGGACCUAAGCUGAGGCCGAAAGGCGUAGGUGAUGGACAACAGGUUGAUAUUCCUGUAC
rnacentral:rRNA from 1 species